rnacentral:rRNA from 1 species
GACGUAGGAGGCGAGCGUUGUCCGGAUUCAUUGGGCGUAAAGAGCACGCAGGCGGUUUGGCAAGUCGGAUGUGAAAACCCGGAGCUCAACUCCGGACCUGCAUCCGAAACUGCCCGACUAGAGGUAGGUAGGGGAGAUCGGAAUUCCUGGUGUAGCGGUGAAAUGCGCAGAUAUCAGGAGGAACACCGGUGGCGAAGGCGGAUCUCUGGGCCUUACCUGACGCUCAGGUGCGAAAGCUAGGGGAGCGAACAAG